rnacentral:rRNA from 1 species
CCGGGCGACCGGCGCACGGGUGAGUAACACGUAUGCAACCUGCCCUCUUCAGGGGGACAACCUUCCGAAAGGGAGGCUAAUCCCGCGUAUAUCGGUUUCGGGCAUCCGAGAUCGAGGAAAGAUUCAUCGGAAGAGGAUGGGCAUGCGGCGCAUUAGCUAGACGGCGGGGUAACGGCCCACCGUGGCGACGAUGCGUAGGGGUUCUGAGAGGAAGGUCCCCCACACUGGUACUGAGACACGGACCAGACUCCUACGGGAGGCAGCAG